CACGUAGGCACCAAGCGUUAUCCGGAUUUAUUGGGCGUAAAGAGCUCGUAGGCGGUUCGGUAAGUCGGGUGUGAAAACUCUGGGCUCAACCCAGAGAGGCCACCCGAUACUGCUGUGACUAGAGUGCGGUAGGGGAGCGGGGAAUUCCUGGUGUAGCGGUGAAAUGCGCAGAUAUCAGGAGGAACACCAGCGGCGAAGGCGCCGCUCUGGGCCGUAACUGACGCUGAGGAGCGAAAGCAUGGGUAGCGAACGGG
rnacentral:rRNA from 1 species